UACGUAGGUGGCAAGCGUUGUCCGGAAUUAUUGGGCGUAAAGCGCGCGCAGGCGGUCCUUUAAGUCUGAUGUGAAAGCCCACGGCUCAACCGUGGAGGGUCAUUGGAAACUGGGGGACUUGAGUGCAGAAGAGGAAAGUGGAAUUCCCGGUGUAGUGGUGAUAUGCGUAGAUAUCGGGAGGAACACCUGUGGCGAAGGCGGCUUUCUGGGCCUUACCUGACGCUGAGACGCGAAAGCGUGGGGAGCGAACCGG
rnacentral:rRNA from 1 species